GGGCCCGCACAAGCGGUGGAGCAUGUGGUUUAAUUCGAUGCAACGCGAAGAACCUUACCACCCCUUGACAUCCUGCGAACUUUCUAGAGAUAGAUUGGUGCCUUCGGGAGCGCAGAGACAGGUGCUGCAUGGCUGUCGUCAGCUCGUGUUGUGAAAUGUUGGGUUAAGUCCCGUAACGAGCGCAACCCUUGUCCUUAGUUGCCAGCGAGUAAAGUCGGGAACUCUAAGGAGACUGCCGGUGACAAACCGGAGGAAGGUGGGGACGACGUCAAGUCAUCAUGGCCCUUACGGGGUGGGCUACACACGUGCUACAAUGGCCGGUACAGACGGUUGCAAACCCGCGAGGGGGAGCCAAUCCGAGAAAACCGGUCGUAGUCCGGAUCGCAGUCUGCAACUCGACUGCGUGAAGUCGGAAUCGCUAGUAAUCGCGGAUCAGAAUGCCGCGGUGAAUACGUUCCCGGGCCUU
rnacentral:rRNA from 1 species